rnacentral:rRNA from 1 species
GCAAGUCGAGCGAACUGAUUAGAAGCUUGCUUCUAUGACGUUAGCGGCGGACGGGUGAGUAACACGUGGGCAACCUGCCUGUAAGACUGGGAUAACUUCGGGAAACCGAAGCUAAUACCGGAUAGGACUUCUCCUUCAUGGGAGAUGAUUGAAAGAUGGUUUCGGCUAUCACUUACAGAUGGGCCCGCGGUGCAUUAGCUAGUUGGUGAGGUAACGGCUCACCAAGGCAACGAUGCAUAGCCGACCUGAGAGGGGAUCGGCCACACUGGGACUGAGACACGGCCCAGACUCCUACGGGAGGCAGCAGUAGGGAAUCUUCCGCAAUGGACGAAAGUCUGACGGAGCAACGCCGCGUGAGUGAUGAAGGCUUUCGGGUCGUAAACUCUGUUGUUAGGGAAGAACAAGUACAAGAGUAACUGCUUGUACCUUGACGGUACCUAACCAGAAAGCCACGGCUAACUACGUGCCAGCAGCCGCGGUAAUACGUAGGUGGCAAGCGUUAUCCGGAUUAUUGGGCGUAAAGCGCGCGCAGGCGGUUUCUUAAGUCUGAUGUGAAAGCCCACGGCUCAACCGUGGAGGGUCAUUGGAAACUGGGGAACUUGAGUGCAGAAGAGAAAAGCGGAAUUCCACGUGUACGGUGAAAUGCGUAGAGAUGUGGAGGAACACCAGUGGCGAAGGCGGCUUUUUGGUCUGUAACUGACGCUGAGGCGCGAAAGCGUGGGGAGCAAACAGGAUUAGAUACCCUGGUAGUCCACGCCGUAACGAUGAGUGCUAAGUGUUAGAGGGUUUCCGCCCUUUAGUGCUGCAGCUAACGCAUUAAGCACUCCGCCUGGGGAGUACGGUCGCAAGACUGAAACUCAAAGGAAUUGACGGGGGCCCGCACAAGCGGGGAGCAUGUGGUUUAAUUCGAAGCAACGCGAAGAACCUUACCAGGUCUUGACAUCCUCUGACAACUCUAGAGAUAGAGCGUUCCCCUUCGGGGGACAGAGUGACAGGUGGUGCAUGGUUGUCGUCAGUCGUGUCGUGAGAUGUUGGGUUAAGUCCCGCAACGAGCGCAACCCUUGAUCUUAGUUGCCAGCAUUUAGUUGGGCACUCUAAGGUGACUGCCGGUGACAAACCGGAGGAAGGUGGGGAUGACGUCAAAUCAUCAUGCCCCUUAUGACCUGGGCUACACACGUGCUACAAGGAUGGUACAAAGGGCUGCAAGACCGCGAGGUCAAGCCAAUCCCAUAAAACCAUUCUCAGUUCGGAUUGUAGGCUGCAACUCGCCUACAUGAAGCUGGAAUCGCUAGUAAUCGCGGAUCAGCAUGCCCGGUGAAUACGUUCCCGGGCCUUGUACACACCGCCCGUCACACCACGAGAGUUUGUAACACCCGAAGUCGGUGGAGUAACUAGCCG